GCCGACUGCUGGGGCGGAAGAUAGGGCUCUUCGGGGGGAUAGAUUGCCUGGGCCCCACCGUAGGUGCCUUCCGCGAUGGGGACAUGGGAGAACCAUGCUGACCCCAGUUGAGCCCUCCCCAAGCCUCUGCUGACCCACCCACAGAAGUGAGCGCUUGGGUCAACUGGGCCCCAGAGAGGGGGAGCCUCCUGCCCUAAACCACACAGCAACUCUGUUCUGGGCCACAAAUGGAGCCCCAUCUCCUGAGCCAAAGCCAGACGUUUAAAGGCCAGCAAGUAACCCUGGAGGGGAAGCUGGGACCCUCCAGGUCCUAGAGGAAACAAGAUGUGAUGGAGCUGCUGGGCAGCAUCCCUGACUGGGGGCACCAUGUGUGUGGCCCGUGUCCCAGGCCCCUUCCUGGCCCUGCCACUCCUCUCAGUUCCUGCCGCUGCUGAGACAGCCCUGUGGCCCCCCUCCAGGAAUCGAGGAUCAGGGCCUGGGGAACUGAGGACAGGUUUCCAGCUAACGUCAGGCUCUCCACUCAUUGGACUUCAGUUUAGUCCUUGGACCCCACAGCCAACUCUGUGAUCAACUUAAGAUUUUCCUUAGAGACCCUGGGGCAGAGGUGCUCUGGCCCUGGGCCUACCACUUGCCGACCCUUCGGAGCCUCAGUUUACUCAGCUAUGAAAUGCAGAGAGGCCCUUCUCAGACAGGAGAGGAGCCAAGAGUGUUUGCUGGAAGCCUGUCCCGCACCAGGCGCCAUUUAAGCACUGGGGACACAGCUAAGAAAACAGAAAUCUACCCUCAUGGAGCUGACAUCCUGGGCAGCAAAUAAGUGGACUUUGGAGCCCAAGGAUGCCUACCCGAGGUUCCCUGCUGCCUGGCAAGUCAAUGGCCGCAGCCCAGUGCCGGACUCCCAGACAAACACCAAGCUGCCAAGGAUACCCAGCAUGGGCAAGCAGAGGUGUGGCUCCAGGAGGGAUCCCUGGGCCCCUUUCCCCACCUCAGUCUCCUCAAAUUUCAUGUGGAACUGGGGGCAGGGUGGCACCCUAUAGCCUCUGAAGGGGGCUUUCUAGCUGUUGAGGGUCCUGCCUCUCUCUCAGGGUCCCCAGCCUUGGCCACAGUCAAAGAGCGGCUGUCAGGGAAUAAGUCUCGUUCAUUCAUGUGUCACCUGCCACCUGCCAGGCACCGUGCGGGGCUAGGGGCCACAAAGUGGAGCAGAACCAGGCACAGCCUCCACCCUCCCACGGCUCCCAACGUCAGGGGUAUACAGAUAUUAAGCAGAAAGCCACACCAAUAAGGAGGGACUGUGGCCUUGGGAAGA